rnacentral:rRNA from 1 species
AGUGAACGCUGGCGGUAGGCCUAACACAUGCAAGUCGAACGGCAGCACAGUAAGAGCUUGCUCUUACGGGUGGCGAGUGGCGGACGGGUGAGGAAUACAUCGGAAUCUACUUUUUCGUGGGGGAUAACGUAGGGAAACUUACGCUAAUACCGCAUACGACCUACGGGUGAAAGCAGGGGAUCUUCGGACCUUGCGCGAUUGAAUGAGCCGAUGUCGGAUUAGCUAGUUGGCGGGGUAAAGGCCCACCAAGGCGACGAUCCGUAGCUGGUCUGAGAGGAUGAUCAGCAACACUGGAACUGAGACACGGUCAAGACUCCUACGGGAGGCAGCAGUGGGGAAUAUUGGACAAUGGGCGCAAGCCUGAUCAAGACAUACCGCGUGAGUGAAGAAGGCCUUCGGGUUGUAAAGACCUUUUGUUGGGAAAGAAAAGCAGCAGGUUAAUACCCCGCUGUUCUGACGGUACCCAAAGAAUAAGCACCGGCUAACUUCGUG